AGGAGGUGAAGAUGAAGUUAAAGGAGGUGGAGGAGGUGAAGAAGCUGAAGGAGGUGAAGAAGUUAAAGGGGGUGGAGGAGGUGAAGGAGAUGAAGUUAAAGGAGGUGGAGGAGGUGAAGAAGCUGAAGGAGGUGAAGAAGUUAAAGGGGGUGGAGGAGGUGAAGAAGCUGAAGGAGGUGAAGAAGUUAAAGGAGGUGGAGGAGGUGAAGCUCAGUAGGUUUUUCAGGGAGAUGUUUUAAAGAUUGUAGUUUAUCAGGUUAAUUUAUAAAGAUCUCAGAAACGGU